rnacentral:rRNA from 1 species
CGGGGGAGCAAGCGUUGUUCGGAUUUACUGGGCGUAAAGGGCGCGUAGGCGGCCACCGCAAGUCGACUGUGAAAUCUCUGGGCUUAACCCAGAAAGGUCAGCCGAUACUGCGGGGCUAGAGUGCAGAAGGGGCAACUGGAAUUCUCGGUGUAGCGGUGAAAUGCGUAGAUAUCGAGAGGAACACCUGCGGCGAAGGCGGGUUGCUGGGCUGACACUGACGCUGAGGCGCGAAAGCUAGGGGAGCGAACGGGAUUAGAUACCCCGGUAGUCCUAGCCUUAAACGAUGAAUGCUUGGUGUCUGGGGUUUUAUAGUCCCCGGGUGCCGUCGCUAACGCUUUAAGCAUUCCGCCUGGGGAGUACGGUCGCAAGACUG